rnacentral:rRNA from 1 species
ACKGCUCAGUUAACACGUGGUUAACCUACCCUUGAGACGGAGACAUCCCCGGAAACUGGGGUUAAUCCCCGAUAGAUGAAAACUCCUGGAAUGGGUUUUCGUCCAAAAGGCAUCACAGUCCAUGCUUCUUGAUGUCGCUCAAGGAUGGGGCCGCGACCGAUCAGGCUGUUGGUGAGGUAAUGGCUCACCAAACCUAUAACCGGUACGGGCCGUGGGAGCGGGAGCCCGGAGAUGGGAACUGAGACAAGGUCCCAGGCCCUACGGGGCGCAGCAGUUGCGAAAACUCCGCAAUGCACGAAAGUGUGACGGGGCUACCCCGAGUGCUGUCCGCUGAGGAUGGCUUUUCCCCGGUUUAAGGAGCCGGGGGAAUAAGGAGAGGGCAAGUCUGGUGUCAGCCGCCGCGGUAAUACCAGCUCUCCGAGUGGUAGGGAUGCUUAUUGGGCUUAAAGCGUCCGUAGCUGGCUUUCCAAGUCUCUCGUUAAAUCCAACGAUUCAAUCGUUGGACUGCGGGAGAUACUGUUGGGCUGGGGGGCGGGAGAAGCCGACGGUAUUUCCGGUGUAGGGGUAAAAUCCUAUAAUCCCGGGAGGACCACCAGUGGCGUAGGCGGUCGGCUAGCACGCGCUCGACGGUGAGGGACGAAAGCUGGGGGAGCAAACCGGAUUAGAUACCCGGAUAGUCCCAGCUGUAAACGAUGCGGGCUAGGUGUUGGAGCGGCCACGAGCCGCUUCAGUGCCGCAGGAAAACCAUUAAGCCCGCCGCCUGGGGAGUACGGCCGCAAGGCUGAAACUUAAAGGAAUUGGCGGGGGAGCAC